AGGAAAAGAUAAACAAAACAAAACAAAAAAAAAAAAAACUAAAAACAUUAUAUAUAUAUUUAGUACUGCAUGUCUCUCUGCCUUGAAAGUAAUCUCUAUAAAGAGGACUACAGGUUUAGCUCAUUUUAAGCGCAUUGCAAGCUCGGUAUUGAAAGAAGUUGGCACCUUUAAGCAUACUCAGGAGAUCAGAGCGAGAGAGAUGCCUCCACCACGGGGAGGGCCGGGAGGGCCUGGAGGGCCGGGAUGCCCUGGCUGUGGUUGCUUUGAUUUUCUCUGCGGUGGUAUAUGCCGCCUUUUAUCAUCCUGCUUCUACGUGCUGUGCUGCUGCUGCAUCUUUGAGAACUGCUGUGGACCCUUAUUUGGUGGCCCUGGUGGUCCUGGUGGUGGCCAUGGUGGUCCUGGUGGUGGCCAUGGUGGUGGACCCCCAAGGUUCUGAUGAUCAGCUAAUUCCCAUUACCUUGUUGUAAAUUAUAAUACCAUGCAUGAGGAGAGAAUAAAAAGUUAAGCUGAGCUGAUCUAAUUAUGUGGUUGUACUAGUUUUUUUUUUUUUUUUUUUUUAUCAAUGUAUUCAGUAUUCAUCUCUGGUUGGUGGUUGGGAAUGUGAGAAAAACAGUGCCAAUACCAGUUAGUUUUGGGCUCUGGUUUGAGACUAAACUCAGUACACUCUGUUUAUUGGCAAUUAUUUGGAGAAGUACACUGACCAUAUUGCUUGGAAAUCA